rnacentral:lncRNA from 1 species
UCAAUUUUAGUAUAGUAUUUUCCAGUAUACAUACAUACAUUGAUACAUACAUAUAAAUUCUUGAUAUAAAUAUGUAUAAGUUGGUAUUUGGUGAGCUUUUAAUGGUAAAAUUAAAUUUAAACUUCUCUAUAUUGGGAAAGAAAAAAAACCAAAAAGAAGAGAAUAAUAUCAUGGGGAUGAAGAUAGGGAUUGUGAGAGCCACUGCCUUCACAAAUCUCGGCAAUAAGUAACGUAUGUCAUCACUCCAUUAUAUAACACCUAACUCCAAACGGUAUCCGUAUACUUAGGUGUAUUAAUAUGGUACAUAUAUAGAUAUUGGACCGUCACAAAAUAUAUAUAUAUAUAUAUGGAGUAUAUAUAUAUUGGACCACGCAACUAAAUAAAUAUGCACGAUUAUGUGUUUUUAUGUUUUUCCCAAAUAAUACACUAAAUAAAAUUAUAUUGAACUUAUAUGUUAGAUAAUCAUAUCUAAUCUUUCAUAUGGGAUUUAGAAUGAUAUUUUAACAUUUUUCCACAAGUUAAAGACAGUUGUCAUAAUCAAAGAAAUACUAUGUAUUAUAAGACAUACUUCACUAUUCAUAAUCUCACCAGAUUAGCAUGCGUCAAACUAUGUGGACAUAUUUUUGUUGUUUUGAAGCGAGAAUGGUUUGUACACGACUAAUUGGACUAAUACAAGUAGUUUGCAUAUAACCGAGUUCCAUUUAAGUUACAAUGCAACAUUGCAGAAACGACGACAUUCAGAUAAUUUUAGGUGACGUUUUUGUAACACAAAUUUUUAAUGGACGGAUGGAAAACCCAUUUAAGUGAGUGACUAUAUAUAAAUGUCCUAAGUCUCAAAAAGUGUAGCCGUAAUUUCUCAUAAUGAAGUUGGAAACUAAGAGAAGUACCAAAACAAGACAACAGACCAACAAUGAAAAUGGUGGUUGUUCUCCAUUCAAUCUAAGCUCUCUCAAACAUGCGAUCGAGGCCAGAGAUGCUGCGAAGGAUAGUUCAAUCAAUCUAUCGUCGCUCUGAUAACCCAAAUGAUAUUUUCUUUUUUAUUUUGUGUUGCAAAAAUUUGAUAUAUAUUUUAAUGCAUGUGAGUGAUGUAAGGGUAUAAUACACUAAUGAACAUAAGCGUGUCCAGAGGUAGUAUUGAAAAUGUGGUCCAUACAAUUAUGUUUGUGAACAUGGUGGCAAGAACGGCCAUAUACAUGACCUCGUCUGACAAAACAAAGUUUACCAUGAAUUGUUGGUAAGGUUAGAUCUAGAGUCUGAGUUUUAGUUAUUUCAUGUUUGAAAUAAUGGAUAAUAUAUGUAUUAUCUCAAAAAAUACAUAUAUUAUCCAUUAUUGCAAACAUUAAUAUAGGGAGAACACAAUAGUACCAUACAGUUUAAGAUUACAACC